UUGGAGGGCAAGUCUGGUGCCAGCAGCCGCGGUAAUUCCAGCUCCAAUAGCGUAUAUUAAAGUUGUUGCAGUUAAAAAGCUCGUAGUUGAAUUUCGGGAUCAGAUUGUCGGUCGUGCCUCGGUACGCACUGGUAUUAUUGGUUCCUACCUUCUGAAGAACCGCGAUGUCAUUAAUUUGGUGUCGUGGGGAAUCAGGACUGUUACUUUGAAAAAAUUAGAGUGUUUAAAGCAGGCUUACGCUUGAAUACAUUAGCAUGGAAUAAUGAAAUAGGACGUUUGAUUCUAUUUUGUUGGUUUCUAGGAUUGACGUAAUGAUUAAUAGGGAUAGUUGGGGGCAUUAGUAUUCAAUUGUCAGAGGUGAAAUUCUUGGAUUUAUUGAAGACUAACUACUGCGAAAGCAUUUGCCAAGGAUGUUUUCAUUAAUCAAGAGCGAAAGUUAGGGGAUCGAAGACGAUCAGAUACCGUCGUAGUCUUAACCAUAAACUAUGCCGACUAGGGAUCGGAUGAUGUUAAUUUUUUAAUGACUCAUUCGGCGCCUUACGGGAAACCAAAGUGUUUGGGUUC
rnacentral:rRNA from 1 species